rnacentral:rRNA from 1 species
CCUACGGGAGGCAGCAGUGGGGAAUAUUGGGCAAUGGAGGAAACUCUGACCCAGCGACGCCGCGUGCGGGACGAAGGCCUUCGGGUUGUAAACCGCUUUCAGUAGGGAAGAAGCGAAAGUGACGGUACCUACAAAAGAAGCACCGGCUAACUAUGUGCCAGCAGCCGCGGUAAUACAUAGGGUGCAAGCGUUGUCCGGAAUUAUUGGGCGUAAAGAGCUCGUAGGUCGUUUGUUACGUCGGAUGUGAAAACCUGAGGCUCAACCUCAGGCCUGCAUUCGAUACGGGCAAACUAGAGUUUGGUAGGGGAGACUGGAAUUCCUGGUGUAGCGGUGGAAUGCGCAGAUAUCAGGAGGAACACCAAUGGCGAAGGCAGGUCUCUGGGCCAAUACUGACACUGAGGAGCGAAAGUCUGGGGAGCGAACAGGAUUAGAUACCCUGGUAGUCCAGACCGUAAACGGUGGGCACUAGUUGUGGGAACCUUCCACGGUUUCUGCGACGCAGCUAACGCAUUAAGUGCCCGCCUGGGGAGUCGAUCGCAAGNUUAAACUUAAAGGAAUUGACGGCUGAGAGUUGCGAGACGACGACGAGGAGAGG